rnacentral:lncRNA from 1 species
GAAAAUCAUGCUCAUACAACCAAAGCGCACAUAUCAAAGGUAUACAUGAUUUCCAACAAAAUCAUCAUAAAAUCUUCCAGAACGUUCAGGAGAAGAAAAUACACUCCGAUAUCACGACGAAUGACUCAGAAAGGUCUCCGAUGAGUCGGAAUCUUUAUCGACCGUGAGGUCUCAGAAAUCACCCCCAAAACCUCGAAACAGACUUCAUCCAAGACAACGAAGCACAUAGAUACAUAGUCGGAUCGUCGUCGAGGCUCUGAUACCAUGUAAACAUUCAUAUUAGACCGAGAAAUCAUAAAAAAUCUAGAGAGAGAAAUAUAAUUUCCAACAAAAUCAUCAUAAAAUCUUCCAGAACGUUCAGGAGAAGAAAAUACACUCCGAUAUCACGACGAAUGACUCAGAAAGGUCUCCGAUGAGUCGGAAUCUUUAUCGACCGUGAGGUCUCAGAAAUCACCCCCAAAACCUCGAAACAGACUUCAUCCAAGACAACGAAGCACAUAGAAACAUAGUUGGAUCGUCGUUGAGGCUCUGAUACCAUGUAAACAUUCAUAUUAGACCGAGAAAUAAUAGAAAAUAUAGAGAGAGAAAGUAGAGAGAAGGCAGAGCUUUUAGAAUUCUCUGGAAGAUGAGAGAAGCUUAUUACAGAAAAUGAGUGAAGG